CUUUUUCAGAAAUUGGGUUCUCGCUCAAACUCUCUUGGCUCUGUCUCUCUCUUUAGCCUGGCUCUCUCUCUCUCUCUCUCCGACAUAGUCAUCUUCCUCCCUCAGCCAUCCAAGCUUAACUCCACAGUUCACAUCCACGAGGAAGGUGAUGUUGUUGCUGUCGCUGACAGACUAUUUUUCCUGGGUUGUGGUUGGUGGGUGUUACUGCGAAUGCUUACAAGGUUGCUGAUUCUCCUUCUAAGAGGUGGAUUUGUUUUGUGCCCAAAAGAUUGUGACUUUGUUGAAAGUUCGUAAAUGGAAAAGGCAGCUGCCCCCUGCGGCUUGGAAUGCUCAAUUCGGAGGUAUUAUGCCUUGAAUUUUUACAAAAGAAGAAUUGGAACUA